ensembl:lncRNA
GUGUUACCCAUAGGGAAAUGCUUGGAAAGUCAAUUGUGCUCAGUUAUCUUAUUUUCAUAAAGAAAUGUAGAACAGGCUCCAAAAUUGUUUUUCAUGUAAAAAAUUUUACAUGUGAAAAUGUUAAAAAAAAAUUUUUUUUUUUUCACCUGUAAAGCUGACAGAAUAAGUCCAUGUGUGGAGCACACUUUAAAGCGACUUCACCUGAAAUUCCAUCUCGGUGUGAGUCACGCCAUCUCACUUCUUGGACUAAACGCACUGCACAGAACAAUCGCGCGCUCUCAAAGCAAACUGAGGUUCCGACCUGCAGGGAGAAAAUCAGACACCCAGUCCUCUCUAGACAUCUCUGUGCCGGAAGGGGGCCAACCCCCACACCUCACAGGUCAGGACCUAAAAACUCACUGAGACACCAGGCCUGACUCUUAAUUCUGUGUCUCCCUCCCUGGAACACCUGCAUCCCCGUCGCCAGGUUUCCUUGGUGACCAGAGCUCUAAGGAUACCCGGUUCUGGCGCACUGAAGACAGAGGCCUGGGGUCAGGGUCAUUCCUACCCGCCGAGGUCAGGACUCAAGCAUCUUGCGCCUCCCGCUUCUCCCUGGACCUCAGGACACAGGACAGCAGAGAACCUGGGCCAGCGCUCCCGGGGCACCAGAACUCGUUGGCCACAGGCCGGGACAGGGAGGUGGGGGGCCUUUGCUCAUUCCAGUGACCCACUCCUCCUGGGAGCACUUGAAAGAGAAAUACAUUCCACCAUCCAGGGGCAAAGCCGCCCCCUCCCAGCUGGGGCCUGUUCCCUCCGCCUCCUCCUGGCUCCAGGGCCCGGGGUCCAACACCCGAGGAGGCCUCGGUCAACCGCAUCCAUGCACGAGGCUCUGGCCACCCUCUCAGCUCGCUGCCUACCUCCAGGCUGUCCGAUUCUUGGGCUCGGUGGCUGGGGGCGGGGGAUACAGGGCCUCCCUGCGGGGAGCGGCGUCCCGCCUCCAUCACCGCCUGGACUCCCCCAACCACACCCCGACCCCUGCGUGCAGACACGCUGGAAACCUCUCGCCUCCCGUCCCAUCCCUCGAAGACAUCAUACAAUGGCAGCGUUCCUGACAGCUUCCGGGCGCAGUCAGGUCCAUAAACUGGAAAAGGUGCUCACCAAACGCUGCCUCCUCCGUGAAGCCUCCCAGGACUCUCCACACCCACGAACAGCCACCUCCUGCCUCCCUUGACUCAGGAUACGCUGAGCGCUCCGCGUCUAAGUUUCUGCAGUGUCCUGCCUCCUUUCCAGAAAGCAAGGAGCAGACUUGGGCCCACCGGAGGUCCACAGGCUGCUAUAAAAACCCCUCAGGGCUCCUAGCCCGGUUCCCCCUCUGCAGAAUCACUGAGAGGGAUAAAUACAUGUGUACACAGGGCUAGAAGGAAGGGCGCUCCCAAAAGCUCAAGGACUAUGUAAAGUCAGAUUCAGAUGCUAUCGUGGUCGCCUGGGUCCCUGGGAAGGCAACAAUUCCCUAUUUGUCUCUCCGAUCGCUUAUCCUGGUUAGUCACUGGCACCUGGGAGGUGCUUCCUGAAUGUUCCUCCAACGUUUGAUGAAUGGUUGGUAAAGGCCAGUACUCCACUAGGAUCAUGGGCUGGCUCACAGGAGCUCUUCCCUCUAAACUGCGGUUUCCUUGGUAAAGUUAGAGAGAUACCAUAGAAGAUGGAGUGCCAUCCACACACUCAGAGGCAGCCUUCUCCUCUGCCUUGACGGUGAAAGUCGCUCAGUCGUGUCCGACCUGGGUCUCCUGCAUUGCAGGUGGAUUCUUUACCAGCUGAUCCACCAAGGAAGCCCCUCCUCUCCCUUAAGCUGCAGCAUUUGAGAGCUGACAUGGGCUUCCCUGGUAGCUCAGAUGGUAAAGCGUCUGCCUGCAAUACAGGAGACCUGGGUUUGAUCCCUGAGUCGGGAAGGAUCCCCUGGAGAAGGCAAUGGCAACCUACUCCAGGACUCUUGCCUGGAAAAUUCCAUGGAUGGAGGAGCCUGGGACAGCUCUCCUCGGCUGGCCAUCCUCCUGCUCAAACUGGACCAGUGACUUUUCUAGGCCCACUGUCCGGCCAGACGCUGGUCCGUUGUAUUAGUUCUUCACCAAACCAACAUCUUCCUUUGAUGGAGACAUGGGUUUGAUCCCUGAUGGGGGAAGACCCCACAUGCUGUGGAGCAACUAAGCCUGUGAGCCACAACUACCAAGCCUGUGCUCUAGAGCCAGGAAGCCACACUACUGAGUCCACGUGCCUCAGCUGCUGAAGCCUGCGCGCUCUAGUGCCCGUGCUCCAAAAUAAGAGAAGCCGCUGCAAACACGCACCACAAUCAGAGUCGGCCCUGCUCACCACUAGGGGAAAGCCCAUACAGCAACGAAGACCCAGUGCAGCCACAACAUCAAUA